rnacentral:sRNA from 1 species
AGCUGUUCCCCUCUGGAGGUUUUUGACCUUCACACUUCAUGGGCCGCGGUUUCCGCUGGCCCAUUUUUUUUGGUCCC